GGUCUGUUGGUCUAGCGGUAGGACGUUUCAUUUUCGAUGAAAAAACAGAGGUUCGAAUCCUUUACAGAUUA
rnacentral:tRNA from 1 species